rnacentral:lncRNA from 1 species
UUUUUCUGGUGUGUAUGUGUGGUUAUUAUUUGAAGGUUAUUGUUUCCUUUGCUCCAUCUCCUAGCAGUCCCAUCAAAGGGAUCAUUUGAUGCUUUACACAUUCUGUCUCAUUUCUGAAGUGGCUUCUCUGGGGCCAGCUUGUCUAUGAAGAAUGGAGUGAGGAGCUGUGAUGGGAGCUCUGCUUCUGCUUCUCAGCCUUUGUGCUGACCCUUCACUGACUAAGAUCUGCUAUCCAUCACCAGCUGCCAUACCUACUGCUGUCUCUCAGAGAAAGCAUGGGUGGGUGUAUGUGGUCACUUAGGUGUCUUCUCCAGCCACUUUGUGGUGUGGCACUCAGGGAAACUCCACAACUCUCAUCCUGCCAUUCACUAGUUAGAUCAUCAGGGUAUGUCAUCUAUUCCUGAGACUUCUGGACAUUCCCAGGGUCAUGAAGAGUUGAGAAUGUGUUCUUGACACCCUUUUCUACUAUCUGGUCUCUGUUGCAUUUUCCAAUUGGCCAGGGUAGACUCUACAUACACUCUGUGACUAAGUUCAUAUGAGGAUGGGGCUUUUUUUACUUUUUUCCCUUCUUUUACUUGCUAUUAGUUCAUUUGAGGAUUCAUAGAAGAGCUUUGAAAAAUCCUACUAGAGUCAACCUGUCCAAUACAUGUUUUCCAAAGUAAUUUAACAAAUGAAUUCUAUUCUUGUUUUUUCCAGCUGAAUCCUCAUUAAUACCUUGAUUCCCCAUUAUUCUAAGGAACAUAGUUUGGAACAUACUAUUCUGAGUAAAUCUCAAGUUGUGACAUAUUAGACUAUUUCCAUCUUUUUAACAAUAGAAUCAAAGCUUAAGAAGAACAUUUCUUACACAGUUAUUUUUCUAUGGGGAAAUUGCUUCUUGAAAUCUUACCAAAAUAAAAU